CCUACGGGAGGCAGCAGUGGGGAAUAUUGCACAAUGGGCGAAAGCCUGAUGCAGCAACGCCGCGUGAAGGAAGACGGUUUUCGGAUUGUAAACCUCUUUUGUCGGGGAGCAAGGCCCGCCACGUGUGGCGGGAAGGAGAGUACCCGAAGAAAAAGCAUCGGCUAACUCCGUGCCAGCAGCCGCGGUAAUACGGAGGAUGCGAGCGUUAUCCGGAUUUAUUGGGUUUAAAGGGUGCGUAGGCGGAAGGUUAAGUCAGCGGUCAAAUGUCGGUGCUCAACACCGGCCUGCCGUUGAAACUGGUCUUCUUGAGUGAGCGAGAAGUAUGCGGAAGGCGUGGUGUAGCGGUGAAAUGCAUAGAUAUCACGCAGAACUCCGAUUGCGAAGGCAGCAUACCGGCGCUCAACUGACGCUGAGGCACGAAAGCGUGGGGAUCGAACAGGAUUAGAUACCCUAGUAGUC
rnacentral:rRNA from 1 species